GUCCCUUCGGAGACAUCGGAUAAAAUUGCAACGAUACAAAGAAGAUUAGUAUAACCCCUGCACAAAGAUGAUAUGCACAAAUGGAGAAAUGGUCCGGUGACUA